rnacentral:rRNA from 1 species
GAUGAACGCUGGCGGCGUGCUUAACACAUGCAAGUCGAACGAUGAUCCCAGCUUGCUGGGGGAUUAGUGGCGAACGGGUGAGUAACACGUGAGUAACCUGCCCUUAACUCUGGGAUAAGCCUGGGAAACUGGGUCUAAUACCGGAUAUGACUCCUCAUCGCAUGGUGGGGGGUGGAAAGCUUUAUUGUGGUUUUGGAUGGACUCGCGGCCUAUCAGCUUGUUGGUGAGGUAAUGGCUCACCAAGGCGACGACGGGUAGCCGGCCUGAGAGGGUGACCGGCCACACUGGGACUGAGACACGGCCCAGACUCCUACGGGAGGCAGCAGUGGGGAAUAUUGCACAAUGGGCGAAAGCCUGAUGCAGCGACGCCGCGUGAGGGAUGACGGCCUUCGGGUUGUAAACCUCUUUCAGUAGGGAAGAAGCGAAAGUGACGGUACCUGCAGAAGAAGCGCCGGCUAACUACGUGCCAGCAGCCGCGGUAAUACGUAGGGCGCAAGCGUUAUCCGGAAUUAUUGGGCGUAAAGAGCUCGUAGGCGGUUUGUCGCGUCUGCCGUGAAAGUCCGGGGCUCAACUCCGGAUCUGCGGUGGGUACGGGCAGACUAGAGUGAUGUAGGGGAGACUGGAAUUCCUGGUGUAGCGGUGAAAUGCGCAGAUAUCAGGAGGAACACCGAUGGCGAAGGCAGGUCUCUGGGCAUUAACUGACGCUGAGGAGCGAAAGCAUGGGGAGCGAACAGGAUUAGAUACCCUGGUAGUCCAUGCCGUAAACGUUGGGCACUAGGUGUGGGGGACAUUCCACGUUUUCCGCGCCGUAGCUAACGCAUUAAGUGCCCCGCCUGGGGAGUACGGCCGCAAGGCUAA